rnacentral:rRNA from 1 species
UACGAAGGGGGGCUAGCGUUGCUCGGAAUUACUGGGCGUAAAGGGGCGCGUAGGCGGGUCGUUUUUUAGUUAGAGGUGAAAGCCCAGGGCUCAACCCUGGAAUUGCCUUUUAAUACUGGCGGCCUUGAGUAUGGCAGAGGUGUGUGGAACUCCGAGUGUAGAGGUGAAAUUCGUAGAUAUUCGGAAGAACACCAGUGGCGAAGGCGACACACUGGGCCAUUACUGACGCUGAGGCGCGAAAGCGUGGGGAGCAAACAGG